GUUUUCUCCUGGACCCUGUAUGAAAGUCUUCAUUCACUGAGCAACCUGACCGGGGGGCGUGGGGCUGAUGUGACACCAAAGUAUCCUAACUGAACUCCACAAGGUGGGGAUCCGUUCCUCUCAGAGGCCCUGUUCCUACAGACACACUGUGAAGGUGUCUUGAGCACAGGUCAUCACCCUCUUUUGGAUCUUCGAGAGAACCUGGCCACUGUAAUGCACCUGAGAGGUUGAAAGCCCUGUCUUUAACAGGACGGUGAGUCAGGGCACAGCAGUGUAAGCCCGUCAUUGGGGAACAUGCCAAAGAAUAUCCAGAAGAGAUCCCUAAAGCAGAAUAUUUCAAGAGCACAGGUCUACUAUCCAGGAUCAGCUGUACUCCAGGAAUCCAGACAACGAAAGAUACCUUCCUUUUAGAAUUACUAUGCACCGCUACUGCGCGAUUCAGGAGAUAAAAGUUUUCAAAAGCAUUGCAAACCAAGGCAGGACUCAAGGAGCCUUUUAAAAGUUCCGUUUUCACUCUGGAUGCAAUCGACACUAAAACAUCACUGUAUAGUUCUCAAAAGGUUUUUUUUUUUUUUUUUUGGUAAUCUAAAUGAAGGCAACAAAAAGGAGUCAUUAUCCCAGAGUAGGAUCAUCAUCCUCUUCAAUUCAGGAAACUAACUCACGGAGAGUGUGUCUCCACCUGGUGCCAUCAACCCAUGGAGGGAACUGCCAGUUCCUGUGAUGGCCAGUGGAGGGAGCGACCCCACUGCUGCUUCUACUUGCUACAGAUUCAACUGUGACGACUGACUUCCUUCACUACAACUCCUCUGAGCAGAACACACCUAAAUAUGAAAAGAAGUGUGUGCCUGUGCACGUGGCAGUCAUCUGCUUGCAGGGGACAGUCCCCAUCAUCCCUAACCAAUCCAGCCGCAGUAGGAGGAGACAUAGCAUCUGGUCCCUGCUUAGAACUAAUUCCUCAAUGAAUGAAGGACAGGGACUCAAGGUAAAUUCUCAGUCAAUAAAGCGUAGCUCUUCAUGGACCAGUUACUUUUGUGUUAAUAAUGACACAGGAGAAUGGAGUAAGCAGGACAUCUGUAAAAUCAGAUUCUCUUCCCUUUGGGGACGGGGAUAGGAGUGC
ensembl:lncRNA